rnacentral:rRNA from 1 species
AUGCACGACGAUCUCCGUCACCAGGUGCCGCUGCUGGCCCACUCGACGGGCCAUGAGGGUGUGCAGAAAACCCUCCAUCGUCUCCGCGCCGACUUCUACAUUCCCGGUGAUCGGGCCCUGGUCCGUGACUGGGUACGGUCUUGUGUGACGUGCCAGCGCAACAAGACGGAGACACUACGGGCGGCUGGUCUGCUCCAGCCCUUGGAGGUGACGUCUCAGGUCUGGGCGGAUAUCUCCAUGGACUUCAUCGAGGGCCUCCCCAAGGUGGGCGGCAAAUCGGUCAUUCUCACGGUGGUCGACCGCUUCUCCAAGUAUGCUCACUUCAUCGCGCUCGGUCAUCCCUACACUGCUGCCUGUGGCCCGUGCCUUCUUUGA